GAAAGCCGAAAAAUUGGAAUAAGAUAAAGUACCCUAUUAUUACCCUCUUCCUUGCCGAAAAAGGGUAAAACUAGCAUUCUCGGCUUUUUAGUAGUAUUCACAGGCUUAUAAAAAAAUAUAUCAGGAUUGCGUGACCUGAUGUCUGUCAUGUUUCUUGAUAGCGUUCUAGUAGGAGACUGGUAACGAAACAUAACUUAGUUCUGACUUGGCAGUUUUGUUGUUCCUGGUUGUUUGUUUGCCGAAAUACUUACCAAAUGGACGACCUUCGAAAAAACUACGCGGCGAAAAUCAAUCAGGAUGUAGCCAGUGAAGGAAUUUACGACAAGACAACCAAGAUAAAGAAUUUACAGAGGCUUUUCAAGACUGGAGACACUCCUAUCUAUCUGAAGCAUGGGGUUAAUGAUAUGCGCAUCUACAGGGGAGCAAUGAUUGCAUCAGUUGUUGGUCUUGGCCUGACUUUGUUGUCUAUCGGGAUGAUGGCCACUAACACCAUGCCCAAGAAAGAGAAAUAAGUGACUUCUGCCAAGUACUGCAUUGUACUAAAUCAUGUAACGUUUGUGGAUAAAUAUGUAAAAAUUCUGGUCUGUAAAAUUUAUAGGGAAAAUUAAAGUUGUUUAUAUAUAUUAAUGUACAUUAAAAAAAUAAAGCAAUGCAAUAUCAACAA